AUAAUGGGUCAGCGACUUAUAUUCUGUAGCAAGGUUAACCGAAUAGGGGAGCCGAAGGGAAACCGAGUCUUAACUGGGCGUUAAGUUGCAGGGUAUAGACCCGAAACCCGGUGAUCUAGCCAUGGGCAGGUUGAAGGUUGGGUAACACUAACUGGAGGACCGAACCGACUAAUGUUGAAAAAUUAGCGGAUGACUUGUGGCUGGGGGUGAAAGGCCAAUCAAACCGGGAGAUAGCUGGUUCUCCCCGAAAGCUAUUUAGGUAGCGCCUCGUGAAUUCAUCUCCGGGGGUAGAGCACUGUUUCGGCAAGGGGGUCAUCCCGACUUACCAACCCGAUGCAAACUGCGAAUACCGGAGAAUGUUAUCACGGGAGACACACGGCGGGUGCUAACGUCCGUCGUGAAGAGGGAAACAACCCAGACCGCCAGCUAAGGUCCCAAAGUCAUGGUUAAGUGGGAAACGAUGUGGGAAGGCCCAGACAGCCAGGAUGUUGGCUUAGAAGCAGCCAUCAUUUAAAGAAAGCGUAAUAGCUCACUGGUCGAGUCGGCCUGCGCGGAAGAUGUAACGGGGCUAAACCAUGCACCGAAGCUGCGGCAGCGACGCUGAUGCGUUGUUGGGUAGGGGAGCGUUCUGUAAGCCUGUGAAGGUGUGCUGUGAGGCAUGCUGGAGGUAUCAGAAGUGCGAAUGCUGACAUAAGUAACGAUAAAGCGGGUGAAAAGCCCGCUCGCCGGAAGACCAAGGGUUCCUGUCCAACGUUAAUCGGGGCAGGGUGAGUCGACCCCUAAGGCGAGGCCGAAAGGCGUAGUCGAUGGGAAACAGGUUAAUAUUCCUGUACUUGGUGUUACUGCGAAGGGGGGACGGAGAAGGCUAUGUUGGCCGGGCGACGGUUGUCCCGGUUUAAGCGUGUAGGCUGGUUUUCCAGGCAAAUCCGGAAAAUCAAGGCUGAGGCGUGAUGACGAGGCACUACGGUGCUGAAGCAACAAAUGCCCUGCUUCCAGGAAAAGCCUCUAAGCAUCAGGUAACAUCAAAUCGUACCCCAAACCGACACAGGUGGUCAGGUAGAGAAUACCAAGGCGCUUGAGAGAACUCGGGUGAAGGAACUAGGCAAAAUGGUGCCGUAACUUCGGGAGAAGGCACGCUGAUAUGUAGGUGAAGUCCCUCGCGGAUGGAGCUGAAAUCAGUCGAAGAUACCAGCUGGCUGCAACUGUUUAUUAAAAACACAGCACUGUGCAAACACGAAAGUGGACGUAUACGGUGUGACGCCUGCCCGGUGCCGGAAGGUUAAUUGAUGGGGUUAGCCGCAAGGCGAAGCUCUUGAUCGAAGCCCCGGUAAACGGCGGCCGUAACUAUAACGGUCCUAAGGUAGCGAAAUUCCUUGUCGGGUAAGUUCCGACCUGCACGAAUGGCGUAAUGAUGGCCAGGCUGUCUCCACCCGAGACUCAGUGAAAUUGAACUCGCUGUGAAGAUGCAGUGUACCCGCGGCAAGACGGAAAGACCCCGUGAACCUUUACUAUAGCUUGACACUGAACAUUGAGCCUUGAUGUGUAGGAUAGGUGGGAGGCUUUGAAGUGUGGACGCCAGUCUGCAUGGAGCCGACCUUGAAAUACCACCCUUUAAUGUUU
rnacentral:rRNA from 1 species